CUAGGCAACAUGGUGGAGCUGCGGACUUUUAAUCCGUAGGUUCUGGGUUCGAGCCCCAGGCGGCCCACCA
rnacentral:tRNA from 1 species